UGGGGAAUAUUGCACAAUGGAGGGAACUCUGAUGCAGCGACGCCGCGUGAACGAAGAAGGCUUUCGAGUCGUAAAGUUCUUUUAUAUGGGAAGAUAAUGACGGUACCAUAAGAAAAAGCCCCGGCUAACUACGUGCCAGCAGCCGCGGUAAUACGUAGGGGGCUAGCGUUGUCCGGAAUCACUGGGCGUAAAGGGUUCGCAGGCGGAAAUGCAAGUCAGGUGUAAAAGGCAGUAGCUUAACUACUGUAAGCAUUUGAAACUGCAUAUCUUGAGAAGAGUAGAGGUAAGUGGAAUUUUUAGUGUAGCGGUGAAACGCGUAGAUAUUAAAAAGAAUACCGGUGGCGAAGGCGACUUACUGGGCUCAUUCUGACGCUGAGGAACGAAAGCGUGGGUAGCAAACAGG
rnacentral:rRNA from 1 species